CCUACGGGAGGCAGCAGUGGGGAAUUUUGGACAAUGGGGGCAACCCUGAUCCAGCCAUGCCGCGUGAGUGAAGAAGGCCUUCGGGUUGUAAAGCUCUUUCGGCCGGAACGAAAUCGCGCACGUGAAUAACGUGCGUGGAUGACGGUACCGGAGUAAGAAGCACCGGCUAACUACGUGCCAGCAGCCGCGGUAAUACGUAGGGUGCGAGCGUUAAUCGGAAUUACUGGGCGUAAAGCGUGCGCAGGCGGUUCGCUAAGUCAGACGUGAAAGCCCCGGGCUUAACCUGGGAACGGCGUUUGAAACUGGCGGGCUCGAGUACGGCAGAGGGGGGUGGAAUUCCACGUGUAGCAGUGAAAUGCGUAGAUAUGUGGAGGAACACCGAUGGCGAAGGCAGCCCCCUGGGCCGAUACUGACGCUCAUGCACGAAAGCGUGGGGAGCAAACAGGAUUAGAUACCCUGGUAGUCCACGCCCUAAACUAUGUCAACUAGUUGUCGGGGAAGCAAUUCCUUGGUAACGCAGCUAACGCGUGAAGUUGACCGCCUGGGGAGUACGGUCGCAAGAUUAAAACUCAAAGGAAUUGACGG
rnacentral:rRNA from 1 species